rnacentral:rRNA from 1 species
UGGGGAAUAUUGGACACUGGGCGAAAGCCUGAUCCAGCCAUGCCGCGUGUGUGAAGAAGGUCUUCGGAUUGUAAAGCACUUUAAGUGGGGAGGAAGGGCAGUAAGCGAAUACCUUGCUGUUUUGACGUUACCGACAGAAUAAGCACCGGCUAACUCUGUGCCAGCAGCCUCGGUAAUACAGAGGGUGCAAGCGUUAAUCGGAAUUACUGGGCGUAAAGCGCGCGUAGGUGGUUCGUUAAGUUGAAUGUGAAAGCCCCGGGCUCAACCUGGGAACUGCAUCCAAAACUGGCGAGCUAGAGUAGGGCAGAGGGUGGUGGAAUUUCCUGUGUAGCGGUGAAAUGCGUCGAUAUAGGAAGGAACAACAGUGGCGAAGGCGACCACCUGGGCUCAUACUGACGCUGAGGUGCGAAAGCGUGGGGAGCAAACAGG